rnacentral:misc_RNA from 1 species
GAUGAAGAACGUAGCGAAAUGCGAUAAGUAGUGUGAAUUGCAGAAUUCAGUGAAUCAUCGAAUCUUUGAACGCACAUUGCGCCCCUUGGUAUUCCAUGGGGCAUGCCUGUUCGAGCGUCAUUUGUACCUUCAAGCUUUGCUUGGUGUUGGGUGUUUGUCCAUUCUCUUGCAGAGGGACUCGCCUUAAAGUAAUUGGCAGCCAGUGUUUUGGUUUUGAAGCGCAGCACAAGUCGCGAUUCAAAGCUAUACGCCCGCUUCCACAAGCCUUCUUCACUUUUGACCUCGGAUCAGGUAGGGAUACCCGCUGAACUUAAGCAUAUCAAUAAGCGGAGA